rnacentral:lncRNA from 1 species
AUGACUUGUUCUGUGCAGGAAAUCAGAGCAAAUGAUUCCUGUGGUUCCUUCUUGCCUUCAAACCUGUAUAUUUUUAGCAAUAUUGCCGGUUUUAUAUAUAUAUAUUUUUUUCUCAUGUGCUGCCAAAAGAAGUAUUCAUGUGACAUCCCUCUGAUUUCAGGCUCCCUCUGCAUUAGGAAUGAUGGGCACAUGAUGAUGCCCACGUUUGGAUUUGGGACUUUUCAUCUCUUGAAGAACCAGCCAGCAUGGGUUUGUGAAGGAUCUGCAAAUUUCCUAUCUUUAAAGAGUUUGCACAGAGUCAAAAAGAAAACAAUAGAAACAAAAAUCUUCAAGCCGGAAAUUCCAAGCUGGCAUGAAAAUGGCAAGAACGGGAUGCAACCAGUCUGAGAUAAGAGGUUUCCCUGCUGUGUAACACAGCAUAAUCAGGAGCACACACAGUACCC